GUUGUGUAUCAUCAUAUCAUUUACAUGUGUGAUUUUUUUUUGAAUUUAGACGACCUUUUUGUCAUGGUUUGCACUAAUUUUCAUGAAGGUUGUGGUUUCCACCGGAUACGUUUUAACAUGACAAAUAAUAAAAGUUGGCCCGCUUUGAUCGCUUUGACUAUCUUCUUUUCAAAUCUAACCCCUAGCAAGAUUUGUUUUUUAUUGUUUGUCGGCGUAUAAGUGUAUCUUUAGUUAAAUUAUUUUUGGAUUAACACGUAAAAAUAUUUACAGGGAAUAUUUCUAUAAUACUAUAUGUUACUUUAAGCAUAGGGAUACUCAACCAGAAAAAAUGUGAUGAAAAAACACUAUUUUUGAACCUGGCUAGGACCUUUCCAUCAUUGACCCAAAACUUUAACUUAAGGUUCAAUUUCUACACAAAUAAUCUAAAAUAAGACAUACUCCCUCUGUCCUAUAAUAUAGCGCAUCCUAAAUAACUUAAGACAACUUAAGGAAAUACUUAAAUGAUGCAUGUACCCUUGUAUUAAAUACAAUUAUAGAGUUUGUUCUCAAAGUAUUAUUUCCUUUUAACAAACUUUGCCAAAUUUAAACACAGACACCGUGUAGAAUGAGUUACGUUUCAAUAUAAAUUUUAGAAGUCAUAACGCACUAUAUUUCAGGAUGGAGGAAGUAAUUCAUUAUGAGCAACAGAAAUAGUUUAUAAAUGACUAAAUUGAGGAAAAUUUGACAAUUUGUUCACAGGGAAAGCGACAAAAUGUAUAUAUUGUCAGGGUAUUAAAAUAAUUGAGUUUUUCCUAUUAUUUAAGUUGGACAUACAUUAAUUGCGGAGAAGGAUUCCACUGAAGAAAAGUUGGAUAUCUUCAAUAUAAAUUGACACUGAAUACAUCUAACAUGAAUCUAAUAUCAGAUAUCCCACCCCAAUAUAUUUGAGUAUCUAUUUAUAAAAUGAAAUAUCCCACGCAUUGAAUGAAGAAUCAUAUAAAUAUUUGCUACUGGCCAAUUCCCUUUCGUUCUAUAUAUAGAGAUUAGAGAAACACAAUACACAAACUCAUCAGGAUAUCAAACUUGAGUCUUCUUAGUACAAACUGGCACCAUAUCGUCCCAAACUAGCUAUAGUUUGUCAGCAUAUAUCCCAAAACUAGGACGGAGAUGUUUCCAGGGAAAGCAGUUGCGUUAUUCCUCCUCCUGGUAGUGUUUGCUGCAGUUUGUGGGCCUGUGAAUGGAAGAAGGGUAUGUACCGAACAGCAAAAGAAGGAUCUCCUGUUAACUUGUAAACUAAACAUCAAGAGACACAAGAACGGGAAUCCUCCGCCCCCACCACCCGAACGUGGUCCCUGUUGUCAGCUAGUGAGGCUGUUGCAGGGAAUGCGUCCAGACAUGAUCCGCUGCAUCGUCGGUCAUCUCACAAAAGAAGAGGAGGAGGAAUACAGCACACUGAAGAUCCUGGAGCUUAAAGACAAAUGCCGUUAAUCAUAAUUAGGUCCUGCAUUAUAUUGCUGACGGAGGGCCUGCAAGUUUGAGAGAAAUGAAAGAUACUACAUCGCUAGUUAUUUAAUAAGAUCAAUCAAUGCGCUAUCUUCGUGACAUGUAUCUUUCGUUGAAUAAAUUCAAAACGAGCUUU